GACGAACGCUGGCGGCGUGCCUAACACAUGCAAGUCGAGCGCAACGGCGGACGGGUGAGUCAUGCCUAGGAAUCUGCCUGGUAGUGAGCGAUAACGUCCGGAAACGGGCGCUAAUACCGCAUAAUAUCAGAUGGCCCUCGGACGGAUUAGCUAGUUGGUGGGGUAAAGGCCUACCAAGGCGACGAUCCAUAACUGGUCUGAGAGGAUGAUUAGUCACACGGGAACUGAGACACGGUCCAGACUCCUACGUGAGGCAGCAGUGGGGAAUAUUGGACAAUGGGCGAAAGCCUGACCCAGCCAUGCCGCGUGUGUGAAGAAGGUUUUCGGAUUGUAAAGCACUUUAAUUUGGGAGGCGUUACCUACAGAAUAAGCACCGGCUAACUUCGUGCCAGCAGCCGCGGUAAUAC
rnacentral:rRNA from 1 species